UAAUUUUCAUAAAGAGUGCUACUUCAACAUAGACGGGGUUUUAAAGCAAUACUUGUAAUACAGCGGAACACAAAAUAACUUUAUUUUACAUACACCCCGGUUUAAUAGACUAGAUUCCUAAAUAGAGUACAUUAUAAUUACAACUAUAAACUUCUCAAGUUAAAGCACUUAAAAAGAAAGUGACUAAUAGAAUCUUUGAAAAUAGUCGGUUGAUAUAAAAGCUCGUGAUUCCUCGAACUCCGCUCCACCAGUUUCCAUAACCGCUUCGAGCACCUCAACCUUGACAUGGGCGAAGAGUUUUCCCCUGCUUCACGUAUACUCACAAGGUGUACUCACACAAACAAAAUAUUGCAUUCACAUGGGGAUACAACGACCAAUUAGCUGUAGUACAUAUAGACAUCAAGUCCCUAUAGUCUGUAUUAACAUAUAUAACACAAAUGCAAUAUGACGGGAUACCUAUCAGAUUCAUAACAUGGUUAUCGGUAAUAGACGUCGAUAUUCUGAGCCCGUUUAUUUAUGGAAGCUAUCCACUCUAUAGUCUAUAGUACCGUAGUUGGAAUACCGGCCCCUCCGUAUUUCCGUGUCUACUCGACCGAUAGCCAUUUAAGAUUCUGACUUCCUAUACUGACCAUGCAAUAUCAUAAAUGACAAAUCAUACAAACAAUUCAAAACGUAUAAACAAACAUACUCAUACUUAUGUCAAUACAAUUACUAUAAUGUGACGGUAUCCCUAUCAGAUUCAUAACAUGGUUAUCGGUAAUAGACGUCGAUAUUCUGAGCCUGUUUUGAGGGGAGCUACCCACUCUAGUCUAUAGUACCGUAGUUGGAAUACUGGCCCCUCGUAUUCCCGUGUUUACUCGACCGAUAACCAUAUUAAGAUUCUGACGUUCCUAUACUUGCUCAUGCAAUACCAUAAAUGACAAAUCAUUCAACUCCAAUAAUAUAACCAUGUUAGAUCGAACUUGCACUUAGCAUAAAACACGUAACCAUAUAACACAUAACCAAAUAGCUAACAAACAUAUUCAAAACAUUUUCUCCCUUAGAGUUGAUUCUUCAAAUAACUCACAUAAUCAAUUCAAAUUGCAUAAAUAAACAUUCUUAUAACUCACAUAUAUUAUGCAACGUACACGUACCAUAUACAAGAGGUAUCACAUACAAGAGAAGGGGAUUAUCAUAUUAUUUCAUAUAACCACUUUCAUAGUUAUAACAUACCAAAGUGAUUAUCUUAAAUGCAUCAUUCAUGCGUUUCCUAAGCUAUACAUUUAUGUGAACAUAUAAGCAUACGAUAAUCAUAAUAGCACAUACGCACAUAAUAUAUGAAAUCCGAAUCCACAUAUUCUAUUCCAAAGAACUACAAGGAAAUCUGGCAGAUUCGGUACUUCAACUUUGGAAAUUCAUAUCUCUUAAACCGUACAUACAAACCUUAUGAAAUUAUCACACAACGUUCCCAUAUUAGAGAAUUAUAUCAUAUCAAAACAGUGCAGUAAAAUACCUAUCCAUGAGAGAGGAAUAAUUAAUUUAGUACAGCAACAGCAGCAGAAUUUUAGAACAGAGUAUUCAACUUUGAAAAUAUCAAAUAGAUCAUUCUUUCAACGAAACACCAUGAAAUUUCACGAAGAAUCAGAUUUAUAAGUCUAUAAUCAUAUCCAGUUGGAAUCGCAUGAAUCAGAACAAGGUAAAAUCUAAUUUAACACAUAAUUCAUAGAUGACUCAGAAAUCGUGCAGUUUCAGAAAACCGUUCAUAACUUGAUCAAUAAAAUUCCGAUUUAUGCAUACCAUAUAUCAAAACGAAGCUAACAGAAACAUGUACACGCACAAUUAAUUUCAUAAUUUUCGUAAAAUAAAUCAUCGAUGAAACAUGCACUGAAAUCUGUAGGUUACGAAUCUGGAAAUCGAAUUGGGGUUCAUUGAAAUCUAUAUUUCAUGACCUAGAUCCCUAAAUCCGAUUCCUAAGCAUAUUAAUCAAUUAAAACACAUAAACAUCAUCUUAUUAUUAUCAUUAAUUCAGUAAAGACCAAAAGUCCUUACCUCUUUGAAGAAAAAUCGAAGACAAAGGGAAAGAGUAAACCGAAGGAUUCUUGGAACCUUUGGCUUGAAGACUUUUGGGGCUGAACUUGGAGGCUAUCGAGUGCCCGAUCUUCUUGCUAGUGUGGGGGAUUUUAUAGGGAAAUUAAUCCCAUUAAUUAGAUAUGAAACUUCCCGGAGAAGAAGGGAAAUUUGAUGAGUUCUCAUUGAAUCUGCCUGGGUGAGGCUGCCGAUGGAUGAGAGGAAGAAGAGUGAAGACCCAAAUUCCCCCGUUCCUUCUCGGAACUCCCGUCGGGAAAAUAGAGAAGGAAAGAG
rnacentral:lncRNA from 1 species